rnacentral:rRNA from 1 species
AGGUCAAGUGAAGAAGGGCGCACGGUGAAUGCCUUGGCACUGGAAGCCGAUGAAGGACGCGACUAACCGCGAAAGUCUUCGGGGAGCCGUAAGUAGGCUUUGAUCCGGAGGUCUCCGAAUGGGGGAACCCAGCAUGUGCAGACAUGCUAUCCUUAAGUGAAUACAUAGCUUAAGGAGGGAACACGCAGUGAACUGAAACAUCUAAGUAGCUGCAGGAAGAGAAAGAAAUAUCGAUUU